UCCUGCUAUUGGUUGUGAUAAAAUGAUAAUUCAUGGUGUCAAAUCUUAAUUCAAAUGCCAGAACAUGUUUUAAUGUUUUUAUCAUGAUACCAAUUUGUAAUAUUGACGGUAUCUAUAUUUCUCUGUUCGUGAAAUGAAACAAUCAAUUUUGGAAACUGUUUGUUUUCGAUUGAAAAUUUGAAACUGAACACCAUGAUUCAAGCAAUGGGUACAACUUAUUUAUUUUUAUUUUCUUUUUCUUGCAACUGUGAAGCGAUCAGUAAUGUUAAAUGACUGGUAGUGAAGGCCGCUAGUAAUUAGUUCUCUAACUAACCUCAUAUAACACUGACACUAGAUUCUCUGGCGG
rnacentral:lncRNA from 1 species